UACAGAGGGGGCAAGCGUUAUUCGGAAUUAUUGGGCGUAAAGGGCGCGUAGGCGGCUUUUCAAGUGACGGGUGAAAUCCCUCGGCUUAACCGAGGAACUGCCUGUCAGACUGGAAGGCUUGAGACCGGGAGAGGUGAGUGGAAUUCCCAGUGUAGCGGUGAAAUGCGUAGAUAUUGGGAGGAACACCGGUGGCGAAGGCGGCAUCCUGGACCGGCAUUGACGCUGAGGCGCGAAAGCCAGGGGAGCAAACGGG
rnacentral:rRNA from 1 species